rnacentral:rRNA from 1 species
UUUAAUUGAAUGCUAAAAGAAUGGAAUAUCAAAGAAUAACUUUCUUAAAAUUAAAAAUUGAAAUUUUUUUAAUUUGUGUAAAAACAAUUAUAUAAAUUAAAGACAAGAAGACCCUAAGAAUUUUUAAAAUUUAAAUUAACACAUUUUUGUUUUAAUUAAAUUUUAACUGGGGCGGUUAAAAAAUAUUAAAAACUUUUUAAUUUUGAAAAUGACCCAUUAUUAAUGAAAAUAUGAUAAAAUACUCUAGGGAUAACAGCGUUAUAUUUUUUGAUAGAUCAUAUUGACAAAAAAGUUUGCGACCUCGAUGUUGGAUUAGGAUACUUUUUUAAUGAAGAUAUUAAAAUAAGAAGUUUGUUCAACUUUUAAAUUCCUACUUGAUCUGAGUUCAGACCGGA